rnacentral:lncRNA from 1 species
UCAGGCCGCUCUAGCCACACAAAUAGGAUAGUGGGCUUACCUCGCCUCAGUCCCUUUCCUACACAUCAGGACAAUUCAUAUUCAACAAUACUCACACAAGCUGAAACUACCGACAUACCCAUCGGUCUAUCAAUUCAGUCAAUCCAAUUGAUAUCAUACGAUCCACACAUCUAUCAAUUCAUAUAAUCUAUUAAACCAUACCAUCUAUUCAUCCAUCAAUACAAUUACGGCUCGCACAAGCUGAAAUGGAUGCAAUGCUCUCACAAGCUGAUAUAGAUGGUAGUUCGCACAAGCUGAUAUAUACAUAAAUGAUAGCUCGCGCAAGCUGAUAUAUGGAUCGUUGCUCUCACAAGCUGAUAAAUUAUCAUUGCUCUCACAAGCUGACAUACAGUGCUCACACAAGCUGACAAUGAUGCUCACACAAGCUUAUACAUAUAUAAACCAAUUGCUCGCCAAAGCUGAUAAUUCAAUAAUAAACCAACUCAUACCUCAAUUCAAUCAAUCAAUCAAUCCAAUCGAUUCAAACUAGUCAUACAAAUCAAUUACGGUGCUAAAAGCCAACACCGGGUAUUUUCAAGUUAAAUAACACAACUUCAUCAAUUUCACACAAUUCCACACUUUUGGAAUUAUUAACCAUAAUCAUCAAUCACUCAAUUUCUCAAUUUAAACAUACAAUUAACACAAAUCGACCGCACUGCUGCGAUCAGCGCGAAAUUCUAACGACCGGCCAUCCCGGCAUAAUUUUCGAAAUUAUUAAAUAAUUAAAUUUAAUUCCGAAAAUUAAAUAAUUAAAUAUUAUUUUAUAAUAAUAUAAUUUAAUAAAAUAAUAUUUAUAAAUUAGAAAUAAUUAUUUAAUUAAAAAUAAUUAAUUAGGGCUUAAACUAGAUUACACUAAUUUAAACAUACAAUUAGCUCUAAUUAAACAUCCAUUAAACUAAUCACACAACUAAUCUAAUUUAUAUUAAAAUAAUCUAAUCUAACCACCUAAACCUAAUUAGACUAAUCUAAACACCCAUUAAGCAUCAUUAACUCACUAAGCAAGAAUUAGAUUAUAAACUCACCGGUUUUGCGCGCCGGUGAGUUCACGGCGACCACGACGCCAAGGCGGUCGAUAAAUUCCAAAGCGGCGACACCAACGGAGGCCGGGAAGGUCUUGAAAAUGGGCCACAAAGUCUCCAAAACCUUGCUGUCUUCUGCUUCUGAUCUGGACUGAACUGCAGAGAAGAAACCAGCAACUUCAACGGUGAAAAUGGGCCGAUCGGAGCUCCGGCAAGCGGGUGGUUGGCAACCAAUGGCUCCAGGGGGGUCUUGAGGAUCUUGUAGGAGGUUGGGAUGGGCAAAGGAAGGGUCGGAAAGGGGAAAAACAGCAAGAAAACGCAGAACAGGCGGAGCAGGGUGGAACCAGACGGUCCGGCGAGUGGCAGCUUCUCUCAGGAUUUCGGGACAACUGGAGAAUCGUUCCGGCGAGCAGCAGGAUGCUCCGGAACGGGCUGGAUGUCCUCGUCACGGACGUGGGUGGAGCGUUCGCUGAUUCAUCUGGGAAGUCGACUUUUAACUCGAAUCUUUGGCGAAAGGUCAGCUGGAGCAAAAAUUGAAACGAGGAGAAAACAGAGGAAGAAAUGGAGUCCGAUGGGCAUGCGACGGUGGAGGGCUGUUGCUGCUCGGUUUCUCUGGUUUUUGCUGAGCUUCUCUCCUUCAACAAUAAUGGAGAAAGCCACAAAUUAAG